GUCGCGGAAUGCCCGUGUAUGCCGGCCAUUGGAUGUGCUUACCGGGCGCAUCUGCGACCU
rnacentral:pre_miRNA from 1 species